AUGUUUGGCUCUUUCCCUUCGGCGCGCUGCUGCCCCGCCCAUUGUUACCGGUAUUGUAAGAACAAGCUGUACCCAAAGUCUCGCUUCUGCCGAGGUGUCCCUGAUGCCAAGAUUCGCAUCUUUGACCUGGGGCGGAAGAAGGCAAAAGUGGAUGAGUUUCCGCUCUGUGGCCACAUGAUGUCAGAUGAAUAUGAGCAGCUGUCCUCUGAAGCCCUGGAGGCUGCCCGAUUUUUUGCCAAUAAGUACAUGGUAAAAAGUUGUGGCAAGGAUGGCUUCCAUAUGCGGGUGCGGUUCCACCCCUUCCAUGUCAUCCACAUCAACAAGAUGUCCUGUGCUGGGGCUGACAGGCUCCAAACAGGCACGUAAGGUGCUUCUGGAAAGCCCCAGGGCACUGUGGCCAGGGUUCACAUUGGCCAAGUUAUCAUGUCCAUCCGCACCAAGCUGCAGAACAAGGAGCGUGUGAUGGAGGCCCUGUGCAGGGCCAAGUUCAUGUUUCCUGGCCGCCAGAAGAUCCACAUCUCAAAGAAGUGGGGCUUCAUCAAGUUCAGUGCUAAUGAAUUUGAAGACAUGGUGGCUGAAAAGCGGCUCAUCCCAGAUGGCUGUGGGGUCAAGUACACCCCCAAUCAUGGUCCUUUGGACAAAUGGCGGGCCCUGCACUCAUGA